GGUCAGGGUGAACGCUGGCGGCGUGCUUAACACAUGCAAGUCGAACGAAGCACCUGGUCACGAUCCCUUGGGGUGACGACCUUGUGACUGAGUGGCGGACGGGUGAGUAACGCGUGGGAAACCUGCCAUGUACUGGGGGAUAACAGUUGGAAACGACUGCUAAUACCGCAUAACACUGUUGGAUCGCAUGAUCUGAUAGCCAAAACUCCGGUGGUACAUGAUGGUCCCGCGUCUGAUUAGGCAGUUGGCGGGGUAACGGCCCACCAACCGACGAUCAGUAGCCGACCUGAGAGGGUGACCGGCCACAUUGGGACUGAGACACGGCCCAGACUCCUACGGGAGGCAGCAGUGGGGAAUAUUGCACAAUGGAGGAAACUCUGAUGCAGCGAACCGCCGCGUGAGCGAUGAAGUAUUUCGGUAUGUAAAGCUCUAUCAGCAGGGAAGAUAAUGACGGUACCUGACUAAGAAGCACCGGCUAAAUACGUGCCAGCCGCCGC
rnacentral:rRNA from 1 species